rnacentral:rRNA from 1 species
UAAUAGCGUAUAUUAAAGUUGUUGCAGUUAAAAAGCUCGUAGUCGGAUGUCGGGCUCGGGCAGGCUGUCGGCUUCGGUCGGACGGCAGGCUCGGGUCUUUCUGCCUGAGGAUCCCGUUGCACUUAAUUGUGGGGCGUGGGGACGCAGGCCGUUUACUUUGAAAAAAUUAGAGUGUUCAAAGCAGGCCUACGCUUGAAUACAUUAGCAUGGAAUAAUGGAAUAGGACUUUGGUGCUAUUUUGUUGGUUUAUGGGACCGAAGUAAUGAUUAACAGGGACAGUUGGGGCCGUUUAUAUUUCGUUGUCAGAGGUGAAAUUCUUGGAUUUACGAAAGAGAAACUUCUGCGAAAGCAUUCGGCAAGGAUGUUUUCAUUGA